ACAUAGAUUCAAGUGCACAAGAUGAGGUAUGAAAAACACCUAGCCAACUCACAGCAAGUAAACCUAGAGCACAAUGCUAGAGCUUGAAGCUAGGUCUGUCUUUAAUCCCCCAUCUUGUGCACUUGCGUCUCUGU
rnacentral:pre_miRNA from 1 species